rnacentral:tRNA from 1 species
UGGUUGUGGCUCAGUGGUAGAGCGCUUGCCUAGCAUGCACUAGGCCCUGGGUUCGAUCCUCAACACCAA